GGCUGCAAUUGCCCGGGGUCUGCUGGAGGAGGGCCAUAAGUAUGUAAAGGUAGCUCGGUGGUUGAGUCUGGUCCCUCUGGGCUCUGAGCUCUCCAGCUUUGGUUUCCAGCAGCUGGUCCCUCUUCCGCAUCACCAGCAGCACCCUGUUGAGAGAUCUGGGAGGGGAUCAGUUGGGGAUAUUGGGGUGGGGUGUAACACCAUUCUGGAGGUUCUUCUAUCUCUGGAUAGAUCCUGGAAGGAGCCGAGGGCUGUGGUUCAGCCCCCACAGUUUUUAUCUUAGUUUUUGUUUUUUUGUUUUUGUUUUUUGUUUUUGUUUUUGUUUUUUGUUUUUCUGAGUCACGGAGAGCCAGGACUCGGGACCCCGGCUUGUUUCUCUGAACCCAAGGCUUCAAACAGGAUGGGGGGGGGGUCCUGCGUUAAAUUUUCCCAGAUGAGAAUAUAGGGCACUUGAUCUGGUUGAGAUCCUGCCCUCCUCUGCAUAACAACAUGUUUAAUGGCAGAAAUCACAAUCAAAUCAAGAGUGCCCUCUGGUGGCCAACCAACAUCAAAAGCUGGCCAUUCUGUAGAGCAGAAAGUUCUCCAAAAUCUCUUUCUUAUAUCUAGAGACAGAUUGUGAGCCCUAGUCUUAAUUUCAGUCCAUCUAAGGGGAGUGCUAAUAGCCUGUCCCAUCGUCAGAGUCACAUACAGGGAAACAAACAAUAUAUACACACAAAAAGAUUACAAUAACUGAGACCAGGACCCAAUCAGAUGGCUGAGUGAGCACACUCUCACUUGGCACCCAGGAACAGAAACAGAUGGCCGAGUGAGCACACUCUCACUUGGCACCCAGGAACAGAAACAGAGGGCCGAGUGAGUACACUCUCACUUGGCACCCCAAUGGGAAAUCUCCAGGAGUCCCUGGAGCUUCCUCAGACCUCCUGGGAUAUCUCCCAGGGUAGCAGCCCAUUACUCCUGACAUGUCUGUCAGUAACCCUCCCCUCCAUCCCAGACAGGAAGUUCAUUCCUCUCACGUGCACGGACAAUUGCAAACCCAGAAUACCGAAUUCAAACACAGCCGGCAAACAAAGACAGACAAGAUAUAGACAAAGAUAGGAUCCUACCUCCAAGUGGGGUCUCUGAGAACUGGAGUAGGCCACAAAUCCAGGGGGACGAACCCCCACAUGUAAGACCCCCAAUGCUGGGCCUCUGCUCAAGUCCCUGAAUGAGCUGGCCAACACCCCAUUGUCCCGAGAGAAAACCACACCUGAUGCAAACUGCAAGAGGUUUUAUCAGCUAGCUGAGGAUGAAGUCCCUCCAAUGUGCAGGGCAGUGGAGCUCGACCCUGAGAGGUGACAGAAGGGGGCUUUUAGGUGAGGAAUUGGGAGGAGUUGGGAAGAGUUGGGAGGAAUUGGGAGGAGAGUUCUUCUCUUCCAGGUGUCCUUGGUGAAAUUUAUAAGGCAGGAGUGGGGAGUGAGUUCUUUCUGAAUUUUUAUCUCCAUGUCCUCGGCACAGGAAGGUAGGUAUCUCUGGUUGUAAAGUAUAGAAACAAAAAGGCUUUUUGCUGGCUAUAGAGAACAAAGAGCUUCUUUCUAGCUGUAUUUUUAGAGAUCUGGGAAAACAAGCUCAGGGAACAUCCAGGGGCUUUACCUUCUAGCGAGAAAUGCUCUAAGUCAGGGUCUCACAGUAUAGCUUGAAGUCAGGGAUGGUGAUUCCCUCAGAAGUUCUUUUUUGUUAAUUUUUUUUUCUGCUCUUCGGGGUUUUUUUGUUUUUUGUUUUUUCCAGAUGAGUUUGGGAAUUGCUCUUUCCAUACCUUUUAAUAAUUGUGUUGGUAUUUUUGAUAGGGAUUGCAUUGAAUUUGUAGAUUGCUU
rnacentral:lncRNA from 1 species